UGGCGGCAGGCCUAACACAUGCAAGUCGAACGGAUCCUUCGGGAUUAGUGGCGGACGGGUGAGUAACACGUGGGAACGUGCCUUUUGGUUCGGAACAACUCAGGGAAACUUGAGCUAAUACCGAAUGUGCCCUUCGGGGGAAAGAUUUAUCGCCAUUAGAGCGGCCCGCGUCUGAUUAGCUUGCUGGUGAGGUAAAGGCUCACCAAGGCUACGAUCAGUAGCUGGUCUGAGAGGAUGACCAGCCACACUGGGACUGAGACACGGCCCAGACUCCUACGGGAGGCAGCAGUGGGGAAUUUUGGACAAUGGGCGCAAGCCUGAUCCAGCAAUGCCGCGUGAGUGAAGAAGGCCUUCGGGUUGUAAAGCUCUUUUGUCAGGAACGAAACGGAUUGGGAUAAUACCUUGAUCUAAUGACGGUACCUGAAGAAUAAGCACCGGCUAACUACGUGCCAGCAGCCGCGGUAAUACGUAGGGUGCAAGCGUUAAUCGGAAUUACUGGGCGUAAAGCGUGCGCAGGCGGUUUUGUAAGACAGAUGUGAAAUGCCCGGGCUUAACCUGGGAACUGCAUUUGUGACUGCAAGGCUAGAGUUUGGCAGAGGGGGGUAGAAUUCCACGUGUAGCAGUGAAAUGCGUAGAUAUGUGGAGGAAUACCGAUGGCGAAGGCAGCCCCCUGGGUCAAGACUGACGCUCAUGCACGAAAGCGU
rnacentral:rRNA from 1 species